UUAUGACCCAUGAGGACCUCAGUACAGCACCCCAACCUAAAGGAUGAGGAAUCUCCUGAUUCUGGAGCAGACCUACCUCCCCUUCCUUAAUCAUCAGAAGCUCCUCUACAGUAUCCCUGUACUAUCACUCGUUCCUUCCCAUCCUCUGCUUCUUAGAGUAUGUCCGCUCCUUCUUUCAUGGUGUUCCUUAAGCCUUAUAGGGGGUUGAUGUAGCUGUCCCACAUCGGGCUGAGCACUCAGGAAUCACUUUUUCUCAGCCCUUUGGUUUUUUGAGUCUCUGAAUUAACUUCAGCCCACUGCAGAAGCUGAGAGCACCACAGAUCUAUGGUUAUGAAUGCCCAGCAACCAUUAGGCAAAACGUAAAGACCCAAGGCAGAAGGCUGGAAGGGAAGCAGAUGCUUGCACGAUGGGCUGAGCCAUUCUGAACUGCUGUUCCCACCUGUAUGACUCCUGCAUACUGACUGUUAAACAUCCCCAGCCUCAAAAGUUCAGAAGUACGGGUGCAUGUUUCAUAACCUGGAAGGACAUCCAUGGCAAAUCACCAAGGGAUAGAAAGAUAAGGAAUCUGAAACUCGAAGAGCUCUAAUAAAGCCUAAAAUAACCAUCCAAUCACCUUCGCUGCGUUCUGAAUCACUCCCAAACUCAGAAGAUAAAGACAACUCUUUCCAUUCAGAGGUGGACCAGGCUCAUUUGAGUGAGUCUUACCUGAGACUAUUCAUGCUUUUGCAGUUAAAUGGUUUGCAGUUAAGGUCUGGAUUCAAGCACCUCAGGGGUUGGUUUCCUUACAAUGCAUAGAGUUACCUUGACGACUGUCUUUUUUUUCCUAUUAGACAGGGCCUGACUACGCAUUCUGGGCUAGCCUAGAACUCACUAUAUAGCCCAGGCUGGCACUGAGCCUUCAGUCCUCUUCCUUUAGGUCACUCAGUGCUGGGAUUAUAGGCAUGCCUCCACUGUGUCCUGUUUUUUAUAAUAAGCUUUUAUGAGUGUGGGUUAUAAAGGAAGACCAGCCCACUUAGCCACUUCUGCCCUUUAAUGGUUGGCUUGCUUGCUACUUCUCCACCAUGUGGCAGCACCAUAGUAUUGGACUUUCCAGACAUACAAAAAACAUAAGUCAAAGGAUCCAAGUCAGCGACAAUGGAAACACAACGAAGUGCAAGUAUUCUUAUGACUUACCCUCAGAAGUCACACUUAGCUUGUCUCAAAGGUCUGCCUAGGCUUCAGGAGAAAGAAUAUAGACUCCACCAAAUGGUAAAGGGAACAUUAUCACACUGCAAGAAGAGCAUACUGAAUGCGACAUAUUGUGGUACCCAUCUUUAGAAUAUGCAAUCUGCUACAAUCGCAUGGUUAAAAGCUUGGGCAGAGCUAGCAUUUGAACCUAGUUUGGCCUAACUUACAGGCCUGUCCUUUGCUUGCUAGGGUUUGUCAUUGUGUAGUUAGUCG
ensembl:lncRNA